CACACCUGUUGUUGAAGCGGCUGUAGGAUGCUAUCCAUGAAAAUGAAUCCCACAGUCUAUAUGUCGAGAGGAAGGGAUGGUUUAAGGAUGCUGUCAGGGUUCAUACUGAUGGACGAGGCACAGGACACUGACUACUAGCAAAGCCAUAAGCCAUUUGGCUUACACACGUCUGGCCCACAUUCCUGCAAGAGGUCUGCAUUUACUACGGUGAGAGAGUCCAUCAAAGAAAAAGAGAGAGAUGUGAAGAGAAGAUUCUUGGAAAUUUGAUGACUGGAAAAAUGAUAGUUCUUGCCAAGGAUUUUUCUGAAGACUGGAAAAAACAACAGGACUGGGGACCAGCUAUCUGUGGGGUGUUGAGCCUGGAGGAACCCGAUGUCAGUGGAAGACACUUUUCACCUCAAAGCUUUUUCUUGGGAGAUACCAAGUUCAACAGCAACUGAGCCCUCUAAGGACAUGGCUGAAGAGGAUCUCAUCACAAGUUAACAGCUGAAUUCCCUGUUGACUCUUACAGGAUGCACCCACUCUGUCAGGAGAAUACAAGGAAUGAAGGCAGAAGCUAGAACCUCCACGGUCAACAGGUGGCUUUAGUCCAGUUCAAUUAAUUAAUCUACACCAAUUUGUAUAAAUCUGUGAAUUUAUGACAAAGCUAUGAUUUUUGGCUUCUGGAGGUCAAGCGUUUGAUACUUCUGAGGAUACUGAAUGACCAAUAUAUGCAAAUUUCUGACAUUUGCUUGCCCUUAUAUUUUUUCCCAAAUAUAAAUAUACUGUCUUACUAAAUAAAGAUAUUCUACUAGAA